rnacentral:rRNA from 1 species
UUGAUCCUGGCUCAGGACGAACGCUGGCGGCGUGCUUAACACAUGCAAGUCGAACGGACCUUUAUUGAUUGAAGUUUUCGGAUGGAUUUUAAUAAAGGUUAGUGGCGGACGGGUGAGUAACGCGUGGGUAACCUGCCCUAAAGACCGGGACAACAGUUGGAAACGAUUGCUAAUACCGGAUGUGCUAUAUUUGCGGCAUCGCAGAUAUAGGAAAUGGAGGCCUCUAUUUAUAAGCUCCCACUUUAGGAUGGACCCGCGUCUGAUUAGCUAGUUGGUAGGGUAACGGCCUACCAAGGCUGCGAUCAGUAGCCGGCCUGAGAGGGUGAACGGCCACACUGGGACUGAGACAGCCCAGAUCUACGGGAAGGGCAGGCAGUGGGGAAUCUUCCGCAUGGGCGAAAGCCUGACGGAGCAACGCCGCGUGAAUGAAGAAGGCCUUCGGGUCGUAAAGUUCUGUCUUUAGGGAAGAAAGGGUAUACGCAAAUAGUGUAUGCUUUGACGGUACCUUACGAGGAAGCUCCGGCUAACUACGUGCCAGCAGCCGCGGUAAUACGUAGGGAGCAAGCGUUGUCCGGAAUUACUGGGCGUAAAGGGCGUGUAGGCGGGAAUGCAAGUCAGAUGUGAAAACUCCGGGCUCAACUUGGAGAUUGCAUUUGAAACUGUGUUUCUUGAGGGCAGGAGAGGAAAGUGGAAUUCCUAGUGUAGCGGUGAAAUGCGUAGAUAUUAGGAGGAACACCAGUGGCGAAGGCGACUUUCUGGACUGAACCUGACGCUGAGGCGCGAAAGCGUGGGUAGCAAACGGGAUUAGAUACCCCGGUAGUCCACGCCGUAAACGAUGAAUACUAGGUGUAGGAGGUAUCGACCCCUUUCUGUGCCGCAGCUAACGCAAUAAGUAUUCCGCCUGGGGAGUACGAUCGCAAGAUUAAAACUCAAAGGAAUUGACGGGGACCCGCACAAGCGGUGGAGCAUGUGGUUUAAUUCGACGCAACGCGAAGAACCUUACCAGGGCUUGACAUCCCUCGCUAUCCUGUGAAAGCAGGAGUUUCUUCCUUCGGGAAGGACGAGGAGACAGUGUGCAUGUUGUCGUCAGCUCGUGUCGUGAGAUGUCUGGGUUAAGUCCCGCAACGAGCGCAACCCCUAUUUCCAGUUGCCAGCACAUAAUGGUGGGAACUCUGGAGAAACCGCCGGUGACAAAUCGGAGGAAGGUGGGGAUGACGUCAAAUCAUCAUGCCCUUUAUGUCCUGGGCUACACACGUGCUACAAUGGUCGGUACAGAGGGUCGCUAAGCCGCGAGGUGGAGCCAAUCCCAAAAAGCCGGUCUCAGUUCGGAUUGUAGGCUGCAACCCGCCUGCAUGAAGUCGGAAUCGCUAGUAAUCGCGAGUCAGCAUAUCGCG